rnacentral:lncRNA from 1 species
UGAAUAUUCUUUAGUCUUCUCUUUCCUUUCCUUGUCUCUCCGUGAUUACCCGCUGCUUCCUUCAUGACUCCUCUGGACGCCUGCAAGAGCCCCAUCAGCAGAGAGAAAUAAUGACUCCCGAAACAGUUCACAAUCAAAAGUUAAAACGAUGUUUCAGUGAUGCUACAUCAUGCCAGACGCAGGGCUAA